rnacentral:lncRNA from 1 species
GAAACUUGUGGUGGGACAGGCGCUGCGUGUUGAGUUCAUCGUCACCUUCACUCGCGGGGGACCGUGCUUUGGACUUUGGCAUGCAUGGGACAGGCGGGAGGGGGAGACAGCUCGUCCGAUUCCGGGCGCCGUGGCUGCUGCUUUAUUGGCCGACGGUGGCAAAAGACAAAGGAGGAGCAAGUGGCGCGAUGUCUCCACUCCCCAAUCCAGAACAAAGACUAGUAACUCCUGUCUCCCCCAUGUCCACCACCACCACCACCACCUGCCGACGCAUGCAGCGCCCCUCAUCCAGUGGUGGGAUGCGUUACGGACUGAUGUUGGAUUGGUCUGGCCGGCACCCCGUCGUUUUCAUGUAAUGCAUGCAUCUCGCUGCACAGCUCUCUCGUUGCUGCUGCCAUCAGUACUGCUAGUCUUCCUCCACCUUUGACUCCAUCAACUGUACCUAAAGCAGAAGCACUGCUGAUGGAGGAACGUGGUAGACAGAUCAUGGUCAUCAGCUUUUGCUCAUCACGACCGCGAAGGACAGAUCGAGUGUGAGAACUCGUCCUGCUACCGGGGAGAGCACACGAUGAACCGUGAGAGAUGCAAGAGAUGAGAGUCGAUCGCAUUUGAUCCCCCAUGGCAAAGAUGAGAGUCAGUCAAUCUCUGAACAGUUGCAGAAACAAGAAAAGAAGACAUACAGAAAUUGGGAGAAAUGGAAGGACGAGCAUAAUUUACAGCUCCAAAAAAGCUCAUCGCUCGCACCAAUGCAUUCCGAGAGAUAAAAAAUCACAUGUCCACAAGGGGAUGGGGGACAGCCUCAGCUCCCUCUCCUCCCUGUAUAAAAAGACCAAUCCACCAGCUUUUUCCCAGACACAGCCACAGGGAGGAGGAAAAGAAGGCAAGUGCAGCCCCUCUGCAACGCCCCGCCCCGCCCCCCCACCCCCCCAACCCCACCAAGCCCCUAUUAGCUGUAGAUUCUUUUGCAGCUUUGCUCCCACCUUUGCUUGAGGGCAUUGACAUCUCCCCGAGCUCUUCCAAGUUCCAUCUCUAUAUACCUCAGCCUCUGUUCCCGACCUCUUCCACUGCAUACACUUUGGCUUCCUCAGCUCUGAAAUGGGGUUCCCCGUUGGCUACCCUGAGCUCCCUAAGCUCUUCCUCCCCCUGUUCUUCCUCUUGGCCCACCUCAGAAGGCUCAUCAACUUGGUCUUCUACUCCCUCGGCCUCGGCAGCCUGCUAGAGUCUGAAACCCAGUGGCAUGACGCAGACAUGCACCGCCACCGCCACCACCAAACCAGUCUUCACUUGCUUGCAGCUGAGGUGAUCCAGGAGAGCUUGCCGGUGGUCCAGUUCGAG